UAAUACAGAGGUCUCGAGCGUUAGGCGGAAUCACUGGGCUUAAAGCGUGUGUAGGCGGACUUCUAAGUACCUUGUGAAAUCCCACGGCUUAACCGUGGAACUGCUUGGUAUACUGGUUGUCUUGAGCCACUUAGGGGCGAGCGGAACAAAUGGUGGAGCGGUGAAAUGCGUAGAUAUCAUUUGGAACGCCAACGGUGAAAACAGCUCGCUGGGAGUGUGCUGACGCUGAGACACGAAAGCCAGGGGAGCAAACGGGAUUAGAUACCCCGGUAGUCCUGGCCGUAAACGAUGUCGACUAGAUCGUGGUGGCUCUGACGCCAUCACGGUCGAAGCAAAAGUGCUAAGUCGACCGCCUGGGAAGUACGGUCGCAAGGCUA
rnacentral:rRNA from 1 species